rnacentral:tRNA from 2 species
CGGAUCAGGGCCGGGUAGGUAAGGCACUUCUCUUGGGAUGAAGGUAUGUUAGGUUCGAACCCUAAUGAUCCGA